UACGUAGGGGGCAAGCGUUGUCCGGAAUCAUUGGGCGUAAAGCGCGUGUAGGCGGUCCGGUAAGUCCGCUGUGAAAGUCGGGGGCUCAACCCUCGAAUGCCGGUGGAUACUGUCGGGCUAGAGUGCGGAAGAGGCGAGUGGAAUUCCUGGUGUAGCGGUGAAAUGCGCAGAUAUCAGGAGGAACACCAAUUGCGAAGGCAGCUCGCUGGGACGUCACUGACGCUGGAGACGCGAAAGCGUGGGGAGCAAACAGG
rnacentral:rRNA from 1 species